UGAUGACAUAGAAGAAUAAAAUUACUUACUAAAACAAUCUCACAUUAUUAAGGAAAUAUUGCACCUGUGAGGAUAGAUUACAAACAUUAAACAGGUUUAAAAAGGGCAAUUAAAUGCAUGUCAGAAUAUUUCAACUAGGAAGAGUCAAUAAGGAUCUUAAUGCAGGCAUAGUACCAAGGGAAUAUUGCACCCAUGAGGAUAGAUUACAAACAUUAAACAGGUUUAAAAAGGGCAAUUAAAUGCAUGUCAGAAUAUUUCAACUAGGAAGAGUCAAUAAGGAUCUUAAUGCAGGCAUGAGUACCAAGGGAACAAAAAAAAGUGUCUCGUGGAACGAUCAGAGCUAUUUUUAGAAAAAACUUAAUAGUAUGAAAUAUAGAUGGGCA
rnacentral:lncRNA from 1 species